AGCUCCAAUAGCGUAUAUUAAAGUUGUUGCAGUUAAAAAGCUCGUAGUUGGAUUUCUGGCUAAGUGCGCCUGGCCCGCCUCGUUUUGAGUGUGAGUGCCGGUGCGCGCUUGCCAUCCUCUCGGAUUGGUUUUGUUCUUCACUGAGCGAAACUUCAGUCUGGGUCUUUUACUUUGAAAAAAAUAGAGUGUUUAAAGCAGGCUUUUUGCUGUGAAUACAUUAGCAUGGAAUAAUAAUUUAGGACUUCGGUUCUAUUUUGUUGGUUUUCAGAUCUGAAGUAAUGAUUGAUAGGGAUAGUUGGGGGUGCUAGUAUUCAGCGGCCAGAGGUGAAAUUCUUGGAUUCGCUGAAGACUAACUUAUGCGAAAGCAUUCACCAAGGAUGUCUUCUUUAAUCAAGAACGA
rnacentral:rRNA from 1 species